rnacentral:rRNA from 2 species
GAUGAACGCUGGCGGCGCGCCUAACACAUGCAAGUCGAACGGUUAAAGCACCUUUUAGGUGUGUAUAAAGUGGCGAACGGCUGAGUAACACGUGGGCAACCUGCCCUCCUCUUGGGGAUAGCCUCGGGAAACCGAGGAUAAUACCCGAUACUUCAAUGUGGCCGCAUGGCGACAUUGAGAAAGCUUUUGCGGAGAAGGAUGGGCCCGCGGCCUGUUAGCUUGUUGGUGGGGUAGAGGCCUACCAAGGCAAUGAUGGGUAGCUGGGUUGAGAGACCGACCAGCCAGAUUGGGACUGAGACACGGCCCAGACUCCUACGGGAGGCAGCAGUGGGGAAUCUUGCACAAUGGGCGAAAGCCUGAUGCAGCGACGCCGCGUGCGGGACGAAGGCCUUCGGGUUGUAAACCGCUUUCAGCAGGGACGAGGCGAUAAGUGACGGUACCUGCA